rnacentral:rRNA from 1 species
UACAGAGGUCCCAAGCGUUGUUCGGAUUCACUGGGCGUAAAGGGUGCGUAGGUGGCAGGGUAAGUUUGAUGUGAAAUCUCCGAGCUCAACUCGGAAACUGCAUUGAAUACUAUCCUGCUUGAGGAUUGGAGGGGAGACUGGAAUUCUCGGUGUAGCAGUGAAAUGCGUAGAUAUCGAGAGGAACACCAGUGGCGAAGGCGGGUCUCUGGAACGGUACUGACGCUGAGACGCGAAAGCGUGGGGAGCGAACAGG